GAGUUUGAUCCUGGCUCAGGACGCUCGGAGGCGGCGUGCCUAAAACAUGCAAGUCGAACGAGGUAGCAAUACCUAGUGGCGAACGGCGGAGUAAUACAUGAACAACGUGCCCUGAAGUCCGGGACAAACGCAGAAAUGCCAUAAAUACCGGAUGUGGUGGAGAGAUGGCAUCAUCAUUCCAUUAAAUGGUUUUUCGCUUCAGGAGCGGUUCAUGGCCUAUCAGGUAGUUGGUGGGGUAAUGGCCUACCAAGCCGACGACAGGUAGCGGGUCUGAGAGGAUGAUCCGCUCGAGUGGGACUGAGACACGGCCCACACACCUACGGGUGGCAGUAGUUGGGAAUCUUGCACAAUGGGGGAAACCCUGAUGCAGCGACGCCGCGUGGAGGAUGACGGAUCUAGGUCUGUAAACUCCUUUUUCAUGGAAAGACUUAGGACGGUACCAUGAGAAUAAGGACCGGCUAACUACGUGCCAGCAGCCGCGGUAAGACGUAGGGUCCAAGCGUUGUCCGGAUUUACUGGGCGUAAAGAGCGCGUAGGCGGCUUGUUAAGUGUGAAGUGAAAUCUCCAGGGCUCAACCCGGAAACUGCUUCGCAUACUGGCAAGCUUGAGGAAUGCAGAGGUUUGUGGAAUUCCUGGUGUAACGGUGAAAUGUGUUGAUAUCAGGAGGAACACCCAUGGCGAAGGCAGCAAACUGGGCAUUAUCUGACGCUGAGGCGCGAAAGCGUGGGUAGCAAACAGGAUUAGAUACCCUGGUAGUCCACGCCCUAAACGAUGGAUACUAGGCGUAAGAGGUAUCGACC
rnacentral:rRNA from 1 species